rnacentral:lncRNA from 1 species
GUUUAUGAAAAUGGCUCUCGGUAUCAACCCAGGAUGGGGCUGGAGAUCCUCCUUCAUCCCUGCACCCUUAUAUCACAGAGCUUUUCAGCCCUUCUCUAGCAUCUUUCCUUUGUAAGAGGAGACAUGUCUAGGUAGAAUGGAUUUGUUUCCCAUUUCAGGGAACAAACAAGAGUGCCCCAAAGAAGUUCUGAGAGGACUAUUAUCAGUGAUUGCCACAUUGAUUCAUUGGAUCAUAUAACCUUAGGGGUGUGCCUUCACUCUUUAUCUGACCUUCUUCUGGAUACAGCAAACACUUGUGGACCAGCUGCACUGAAGCAUUAAACAAGGAGUAAGAAGCAAAGACGGGUGUGGGCAUGUGACUAGAGGGUCCUGAGGAGCAGAAGAUGAGUUGCAUGUGCUACGAUCGCCUGUUUGACUUGCAAAGCACAUGGCUCUCACUAACAUCAGUAGAAUCUGAAUCCAUGGAACAGAUCUUUGUCAAUUACUAUUGUUAUUAGUUUUCCUUUUUAUCUGAUAGUUCAGAUUCUGUACCCUCUUCAGGUUUCCAGAAGAUUUCUUUUCCUGUAAAUCUUGAUGAGAGGCAAAAC